rnacentral:rRNA from 1 species
UGCCAGCAGCCGCGGUAAUACGUAGGGUGCAAGCGUUAAUCGGAAUUACUGGGCGUAAAGCGUGCGCAGGCGGUUCGCUAAGACCGAUGUGAAAUCCCCGGGCUUAACCUGGGAACUGCAUUGGUGACUGGCGGGCUAGAGUAUGGCAGAGGGGGGUAGAAUUCCACGUGUAGCAGUGAAAUGCGUAGAGAUGUGGAGGAAUACCGAUGGCGAAGGCAGCCCCCUGGGCCAAUACUGACGCUCAUGCACGAAAGCGUGGGGAGCAAACAGGAUUAGAUACCCUGGUAGUCCACGCCCUAAACGAUGUCAACUAGUUGUCGGGUCUUCAUUGACUUGGUAACGAAGCUAACGCGUGAAGUUGACCGCCUGGGGA